rnacentral:misc_RNA from 1 species
CACUGCCUUUGCCAGCUCUCCGCUGGGAGCGCCGCCUUUUUUCGGUCCCAUGAUCUCCCAGAACAUCGAGUGGUUCCAGGUUCCACCACCAUGGUUGCGUACGACCGUGCGAAUAUCCUCAGGAACAGCAUUGAGAUUCAUCAACAAUUCCUCGAGCGACUUGGAGCCAAGCUCGGGAUGCUUUUCAAUUGCGCCAUUGAGGUUGGUCACGUACGUUUGAUGAUGCUUGUCGUGGUGAAGAGUCAUCGUCUGGGCAUCAAUAUACGGUUCGAGCGCGUCAACU